rnacentral:rRNA from 1 species
AGAGUUUGAUCCUGGCUCAGGAUGAACGCUAGCGGCAGGCUUAAUACAUGCAAGUCGAGGGGCAGCAGGUUUGUAGCAAUACAGAUGCUGGCGACCGGCAAACGGGUGAGGAACACGUACGCAACUUUCCUUCAAGUGGGGGAUAGCCCAGGGAAACUUGGAUUAAUACCCCAUAAUAUUACGAAGCGGCAUCGUUUUGUAAUUAAAGCUCCGGCGCUUGAAGAUGGGCGUGCGCCUGAUUAGGUAGUUGGCGGGGUAACGGCCCACCAAGCCUACGAUCAGUAACUGGUGUGAGAGCACGACCAGUCACACGGGCACUGAGACACGGGCCCGACUCCUACGGGAGGCAGCAGUAAGGAAUAUUGGGCAAUGGACGAAAGUCUGACCCAGCCAUGCCGCGUGGAGGAUGAAGGUCCUCUGGAUUGUAAACUUCUUUUAUCUGGGAAGAAAUCUACGGUUUCCACUGUAGUUGACGGUACCAGAUGAAUAAGCACCGGCUAACUCCGU